rnacentral:misc_RNA from 1 species
UCUCCGUAGGUGAACCUGCGGAGGGAUCAUUACAAGUGACCCCGGUCUAACCACCGGGAUGUUCAUAACCCUUUGUUGUCCGACUCUGUUGCCUCCGGGGCGACCCUGCCUUCGGGCGGGGGCUCCGGGUGGACACUUCAAACUCUUGCGUAACUUUGCAGUCUGAGUAAACUUAAUUAAUAAAUUAAAACUUUUAACAACGGAUCUCUUGGUUCUGACAUCGAUGAAGAACGCAGC